rnacentral:rRNA from 1 species
AGUGAACGCUGGCGGUAGGCCUAACACAUGCCAGUCGAACGGCAGCACAGUAAGAGCUUGCUCUUACGGGUGGCGAGUGGCGGACGGGUGAGGAAUACAUCGGAAUCUACUUUUUCGUGGGGGAUAACGUAGGGAAACGUACGCUAAUACCGCAUACGACCUACGGGUGAAAGCAGGGGAUCUUCGGACCUUGCGCGAUUGAAUUAGCCGAUGUCGGAUUAGCUAGUUGGCGGGGUAAAGGCCCACCAAGGCGACGAUCCGUAGCUGGUCUGAGAGGAUGAUCAGCCACACUGGAACUGAGACACGGUCCAGACUCCUACGGGAGGCAGCAGUGGGGAAUAUUGGACAAUGGGCGCAAGCCUGAUCCAGCCAUACCGCGUGGGUGAAGAAGGCCUUCGGGUUGUAAAGCCCUUUUGUUGGGAAAGAAAAGCAGCAGGUUAAUACCCCGCUGUUCUGACGGUACUCAAAGAAUAAGCACCGGCUAACUUCGUG